rnacentral:rRNA from 1 species
AGCAGCCGCGGUAAUUCCAGCUCCAAUAGCGUAUAUUAAAGUUGUUGCAGUUAAAAAGCUCGUAGUUGAAUUUCGGGAUCAGAUUGUUGGUCGUGCCUCGGUACGCACUGGCAUUAUUGGUUCCUACCUUCUGAAGAACCGCGAUGUCAUUAAUUUGGUGUCGUGGGGAAUCAGGACUGUUACUUUGAAAAAAUUAGAGUGUUUAAAGCAGGCGCACGCUUGAAUACAUUAGCAUGGAAUAAUGAAAUAGGACGUUUGAUUCUAUUUUGUUGGUUUCUAGGAUCGACGUAAUGAUUAAUAGGGAUAGUUGGGGGCAUUAGUAUUCAAUUGUCAGAGGUGAAAUUCUUGGAUUUAUUGAAGACUAACUACUGCGAAAGCAUUUGCCAAGGAUGUUUUCAUUAAUCAGGAACGAAAGUUAGGGGAUCGAAGACGAUCAGAUACCGUCGUAGUCUUAACCAUAAACUAUGCCGACUAGGAAUCAGACGAUGUUAAUUUUUAAUGACUCGUUUGGCACCUUAAC